rnacentral:lncRNA from 1 species
CCAUUUACAGGACAGUUCUGUGCCCUUCCUCAGGAGGUCCCAUUCCUUCCUUCUUUUGGUCAGUUCUGAGUGUCAGCUGUCUACUGGGGAUCUGCUAAGGCUAAGAGGCAAAGAUAGGCAAGUCACUCCCCUGACCUCAAGAAACUCCCAGUCUACAGGCGAAGAUACACCACCCACUGGUAGAGUCGCUGGACCAGAAUAUUAGGUCUUCCAGUCAAAGUCACCCAGAUUUGCCAAAAGACCUGGCACAAAUGUCACUUCCACUAUGAAGUCCCACUGACUUCCAUAUACAAGACAAUCUGCUGGGAAUUUCUUGGGUUGACAGCUCUUGGAUCCCUAUUUUGAACAGUGGUAGUGUCCUGGAUUACUUUUCAGAAAGAAGUAAUCCUUUUUAUGACAGAACAUGUAAUAAUGAAGUGGUCAAAAUGCAGAGGCUAACAUUAGAACACUUGAAUCAGAUGGUUGGAAUCGAAUACAUCCUUUUGCAUGCUCAAGAGCCCAUUCUUUUCAUCAUUCGGAAGCAACAGCGGCAGUCCCCUGCCCAAGUUAUCCCACUAGCUGAUUACUAUAUCAUUGCUGGAGUGAUCUAUCAGGCACCAGACUUGGGAUCA